CUUUGGGUUUUCACGUAGGCCUAUACAUUUUGAAACCGUUAUACAAUAUUUCAACCAAUGUCAGGACAUAAUCAGGCUUUGAGAUAUAUUUCGUCGUGUGUUAAAUAUCCACAUUUUGUGAUUAAAAAAUUGGAAAUAUUCCCAAUUAUAUUACAAGGCAAUCUAAUUUUCAGUUCUCCCCCAUGAUGAAACUGGCAGCAUCACACGUCGCCACUGACCAAAGGCUACAAAGGCUCUGUCAAGUUCCUUUAUAAAUUGGAAGUAGGCUCCAUCGGUGUACAUUUUUUAACCUCUAUGUCUAUGCAAGAGGAGAAAUGAAAAGAAGUGCAAAUGAACCUAAAUCUACAGUAUAGACUAUGAAUUGUGAGUACAGCUGGGAAAUAAGUUAGAUGAAAUAAACAUGAUAAACAAACCAAAUAAUCGUUCUCUGGAGAUACUAUGACACACUUGUUUUUAAUCUGUUUGCAAAAUUUCUGCUUGUCUAUAAUUAUCUUUUACGUAAAAUACGACAAUAACCAUGAUAACGCUACAAAGUAUAAGAAACAAAAAUACUCUAGUUAGACAGCCACAGAGAUCAAUAUUCAUAGAUUCUUUCCUUUUGGAGCAUAUGGUCCCGCUUUUUUCUUUGAAUUUGUUGAAGUUAUUUGGUUUUGACAAUGGUUAAUCUUUGGAUUGUAUUUGAUUAAAGCAUGAGUUUGAAAUGGUGAGGUUGUAGAUUCUGGGUGAAUAUAACUACUAUUUCAUCAAGACAGCCAUCAGAAACAAUCCUAAACUUAUCCCAUAGCUGCGGAUCUCAGUCUUGACAAGAAUACAGACACCAGAAUCAUUCUCAGAAUUGCUGUAAAGGGCUGUAAUCUCAACAAUGUCGACAAAGAUGUCUGUUAUUUUGAGCCUUAUUUGUGUAUUCGUGGUAGUUACGAGCGUGGCGGGGACUAGGCCUACCCCGGAACAGGCAAUCGGUUGCGAUUGCAUUUGUCUUGACCGCUACUUCAUGGACUGCGAUCGUAGAACAUGGUUCAAAAUCUUCAGAUGUCCUCAUAGUUUACAAUUGGAUGUUCAAUAUUUCUGCUCUUGUGGGAAUUCCGGAAUUGAAUGUUAGUCUAAUGGAUCACAGUGAGAGCUAUACAGACUGCAGGCCUGCAUCAUGCGGAUGAAUCGGCUACUUCAAAUCAAGAACCUAGUCUACACUUUGUCUUCUUCAUCAUGACAAAUCCACGCUAAAAUCAAGUUGAUCCGAAAACAUACUUCCUCUAUGGUGCAAAUAGAUAUGUUGUAUAGACUUAUUAUUUGACAAAAUAGAGCAUUUAUUUUCUCAAAGUCUGUCAAAAUUGUACACAUCUUUUAUUUUGGCGCUAAUAAUUUUGUUUCACGCUAUGACAAAACCAUGCAAGCAGCUGGUGCUCAUUUAUUUUCAUUUUUUUUUUUGGGGGGGGGGGGGGGGGUGACACGUGAUAAAGGCGAGGCUUGAUAUGGAGAAGAAAACAAUUAACAUGUGAGGUGUACUUGAUAUUUUUUUUUCAAAUUUAAUUUUAUUUGAACACACUGUA
rnacentral:lncRNA from 1 species